GCCAUGGGACCUGCUUUGGCCAAUGGGAGAUCAGCAGAUAUGAUGCAAGCAGAGGCUUGAAACAGGCUCACUCACUGGGGUUUGGGCUCCUGCUCCUCUGCCAUCUCCAUGAGAAGAACAUGCUCAAGAGAGCCUGCUGGAUACAGGAGUGGGCCUCUAGACUUUUGGAGCUGCUGCUGCCAUUUUGGAACCAUGAGGGGAGCUGACAACGGGACAGGCUAACAUUCUGAGGAGGACAGAUGAGGAAGAUCCUGAGUCCCAGAUGUCGCUGAGGAGCCGUCCCCUCGUGAGCCUUGGAGCUGCCCUAUCUCGGGGCUGCUUGUUACACAUCCUCGUUGUUCAGGCCGUGUUUCCUCACAGUUUCUGUUCCUUACAGCUCAACUCUUCCUGCCUGAUCCGGAUGCUUCCUCAGAAGAGGAAAAUCCAAGUUAAAGAGAAGGAUGCAGCUGGUCCCAGGACCGCCCUUGGAAUAGCAAGUCUGUAGGAGACUUGGAGCUCCUGCCUGUCUUACAGAAGAGGAGGGUGAGUCCCACGAGGGGCUGCUCCAAGCCCACAGAGAUCCAGAAAGCUGCUGAGAGAGGCAGCACAGAACCCAGCCGUCCCGGUGGAGUUCAAUGAGAGAUUAACUUUUCCAUCCUCAUCAGAAACAACCAUGUGAAGUGUAUCUAUGCAUUGCGAGUUCCUUUCCCUCACCCCGAGAGCCAGCGCCCCAUUUCCUGAAUGAGGUAAGUUUUAUUCCUGACUCUCAGACGGGAGGAAGAGAUGGACAAUGUCAAGAACAAGGGCAUUAAACUAAAAUGAGUGGUGUUCUACUGGGGGAGAAGUGGAAACACAUUACCUCAGGGCCCGUGGCAUAAAACAUAGCGUAGAAGGAGCAGCCAGGGUUUAAGAAAUCAGGAGAGUAUGCAGAAAUAGUCAUUGCUUUGCCAACGUGAGGGAAAUACACACAACUCACUCCUCUUUGGGGCGGCAUCCAGGCUGACGCGGCUCCACUAUGUGGCAAACUGAGAUGGGUCCUUUGGCUUUUCCAAGUCUAUCCCAGAGUUAUUCCUUACUUAAGAGGACAUGUCCAACACAUCCCACCGUCUGGGGCACUGCCCAAAUGCCAUCACAUUUACCAUCACUGUGGGUUCUAAUUUUUCCCCACACCUGACCUUUGCUCUCAUUUGACUCAUCCCAAAGCCCAGUCCUUGCUCCUGGUACAGCCAGAAAGGAACUAACUAAAGAAAACAUACAGUGCCCCUCUUCAAGGAAAGCGCUAGAAACUCCCGGCUCCUGAAUGCAAUCCUUUAGAGAAGGCGUGACUCAAGCCUAAAUAAGAUCUGAUGCUUAACAAUCUUCCGUCACCCACAAGCCCUCUUGGUGUCAGCAAAGGUUUUCCCAUCAGCCGCUGGAAGGAAUAAGAAAAGGAAGCAAAUCAAACUGCCGAGUGUCGCUUAGCCCCAAAUGGCGACAAGAGCCCAGAGGGGCAAGUGCCUGGAGAAAAUAUUUCAAUUCUUCUGCAUCAUGACAAUAAUUAUUCCAGCAAUUCUUUUUAUUUUCUAUCAAAGCACAACCAGUAAACUCUCACAGGUCUCUGUGCUGUUUGCUGGAAGUAAAGGACAAGACAAAUCGCUCUCAUCCUCAGAGAGUUGAGAAUCCAUAGGAGGAGGAAGAAAUGAUACAAAGACUAGGAAACAAGGUGAAGAGCAGCUCCUGCAGUCCAAAGGGCAGCAGAAUUGCUGAGGGAGGGGAGCAUGAGCCCUGGUAGAGCACCACCCUCUGGGCAAUUUUCAUAGUUAGUUUUGUGGUCCUGGAUUCUCCACUCCCCUAGGGAUAUCUUGAAUAUGAAACAAGUUGUCUACCUUAAAGAAUAAAUGAACAGGAAAUACUGUGUAUAGGCAGUCCUCUGCUUUUAUAAAUGUGAAAACAUGUAUAAAAGUAACUGCAUAGAAGUGGAGCAAAAGACUGACACAUUACACAUGGUUGUUCCAUCCCAAACAGCACUGUACAGUUGGGCAGGUUAUUCACUGUACGAGGGCACCCAGCCAAGAGGGUAAGUGGGGACUGACAUCCGGCUGUGUACUCUGGUGCAGAGUUGUAUUUAUUGAGAAAACAAGGAGUCCCUUUUUCUGAUUUGCACAGGACACCAUAUCGGCUAGUAGUGGCCCUGAUCCUGAGAGGUUAAAAAAUAUUUUUAAACUCCAGUCAAAUAUUGAUAGCAUUUUCUUUCAUGCUGUUUUUUUCUUUGCUGUUGAGUCUAUGGUAGAUCCACUUAAAUCCAAUGAGCAUGUAAAUAAGCCAAAGAUUGGCCACUUUGGUUAACGAUUUCCAUCUUUUAAAGAUGGAAAUCUUGCUUUAAGCAAGUGAUAGGUGCAUCUCUCUCAUGUGAGCACUUUUUUUUUUUCUACUUUUCACUCUUUUUUUUUUUUUUUUUUUAAAGAUUUUAUUUUUUCCUUUUUCUCCCCAAAGCACCCCCGGUACAUAGUUGUGUACUCUUCGUUGUGGGUUCUUCCAGUUGUGGCAUGUGGGACGCUGCCUCAGCGUGGUCUGAUGAGCAGUGCCAUGUCCGCGCCCAGGAUUCGAACCAACGAAACACUGGGCCGCCUGCAGCGGAGCGCGCGAACUCAACCACUCGGCCACGGGGCCAGCCCCUUUUCACUCUUUUUUUAAAACAACACGGGCAAAACGCAAUGAAACUUUGCAACAGUCACAUGUGUCCUGUUGAACAAAAGCGGCAACUGCUCACGGUGCCCUGUCACCUGGCAGGCAGCACCAUCUUGGGUGGCUCAAAUGAUUUUUUCAGUAGCUGGCGCAUGACAGCCUAAAUUUGUUCCAGAAGAGGCAGAUUAGGGGUGUCGACGCAUACGAUGCUUCUCCAAUCGUCCGGUGGGGGACCCCCUCUAACACUUGCACCAAACGUUAGCUAUAGGCUCCUGCUUGAUGCUGAGAAUUCCUGGCACCCUCCCCCAAGGCACAGCCCCCCAUGCUGUACCCUCUUCUCCUGCUGCUCGGGACGCCUGGGUGCCUGUAAACCCCUGCGUCCAUCUCCUGUGCUCACUGCUCUCUCGGCCCGUUUGGCACAGUUCAGAAGCAGCCAGGAAUCCUUCCCAGCUCCGACCCUGUGGGAUCUGCCCUCUUGCUGGCUCCAUCUCCCAGAGGGACCAGGACCUCCGAGGUUAUGAGUGGCACUUGCCGACUAGCCUGUCCCCUCCAGGAGCAGACCCCCCUCCGUUGCUGUCUGGUGGAGGAACUCAUUUGCCAUCCCUGCAGGUCUCCACUAAUUGUUCCCUUUUCCCUCCCCCUUUUCCUAAUCUGGCCAUUCAUCCAUAGCAGUAUCCGCUUAUUCCAUGAACAUUUGCCAGGUAACUCCUUGCAUGAGGCCCCGCGCUAGGCACUGGGCGAUGCACUGACAGACGUGGCGCUGAGGCCCUAGAGGUGGGGGAGGUAGACGACAAACAAAUAUGCAUGAAUAAGGACCAACUGGUGGUGUGAAGAGACUAACCAGAGUGUCCUUCAGAAGAGUCGGGGGAGGGCACGCUCACAGAGUCAGGGCCGGCCUCUCUGAGCAGAUGACCCCCAGGCCAAGCCCUAAAGGGUAAGAGGGAGUCAGCCAUGUGGAGAGCAGGCAAGAGAGGUCCAGAGAGAGACACAGCGCGGGUGAAGGUCACAAGGCCUAACCAAAGACUGGGAGCAUGUGCACCUGUCUGGAGCAUGUGGGGGAGGGGGGAGUGGCAGGAGGGGGAGUGGUGGGCGAGGUGGACAGGGGCCACUCACACAGGGACAACCUUGUGUCCUACAGGGCCUGCAAGAGCCUCUGUGAUUGCGUGGCCCUCUGACCCUGGCCCCAUCCACCUUACCUUAUGUAUUCCAAUCUUGCUGUGUUUGGAUAAGUGGCCCUGAGUCACAUCUUCCACCAAAAUUGUAGAAAUGGUUCCAAAUGAAUCUCUCUUCCUCUUUUCUACCAAGAAAUUAAGAGGGUAUUGAAAUCUGAAUACAUCCCACCAGAUUGACUUGGUUAGAUCAGCUUAAAAGGAACGCAUGAAUUCACGCAACUUCUGAAUUGAUUCGAUUUUGAGUAUCCUUGAUGCCAAACAAUGAGCUCGCUGAAGGUGCCGGCUUUGCUUCAGUGGCUUGGGAGCCCCGAGACCUGACCACAGACAGAGCCGAGGCGGGAGGAGCGAGCGGGAGCCGAGGAGGACAGCUCCCCAACAGCCCAGGACGAGCAGCUAAGCUGUCUCAGGUCCUGCCUGUGCUGGGAGACCAGCCACGCCUUCCUGCCUGCUGGGAGGAGAGGCACAGGUGCAACCUUUCUGGCAGUUUCUGUGGAUGUCUCAUAUGCACAUGCCCUUUGACUCAGCAGCUCUGUUAGAUGCCCCCCGAUGGGUAUACUCACUGAGGUACAGCAAGACAGCACAGGCGUUUGUAACCCCCAAAAGCUGGAAACAACCUAAAUGACUUUCAGUUGGCCAAAUCUGGCUGAGUGGAUUUUGGUCCACCCAUAUGAUAGACUACUGUGCCGUGAUUAUAAAGAAGGAGCUAGAUCUUUAUGGCCUGAGAUUAAGACUUCAAACAGUAAAUGAUACUAGAGAUGGUCAGUUCAGUCCAACAACCCAUCUACGGAACACCUCCUAUGAACACCUACAUCUGACGCUAUAUGAGGCCUGGGGAGAGAGCAGAUACUAAUGCAAUUUUGUCCCUGCCCCCCAGGAAGCAGACACACAUAGAUAACUCUCACAGCUGCAGGCAAGGGGGAAGUGCUACGAGAGGUGGGAGUAACAUGGUUAGGAAGGAAGGGAGAGAUUCUCUGUAGCCAAUGGGACUGGGAAGGUUUCCUGGAGGAGGCAGGAAUGAUCUGCGACAGUCCACAGGGGCUGUUCCAGGCUGGGAAAACAGCUUGAGCAAAGACCCAGAGGCAGAAGAAAAAUGGGUUUGUGCAGGGAGGGUGGAGAGGCUGACACCCAGAAUGCCUGGCAAAGGGGUGAGUGGAGGGAGAGGUGGGCAGGAAAGCCAAGUGGUUAGAGCUGACAGUGGAGCCAGGAGCUGGGCCUGAGAGAGCUGAGUACCAGGCGGAGAAGUCUGCACUUAAUUCUGUGAACCUGAAACUUUCUGAGUCAGGGACAAAAAGGUGACAGUCUGGUUUGUAAAAGUCAGUGCCACCUCCCAAAACAUCGCAGUGCCUAUGGAGCAGGUGCUGGUACGAGGGCCGGGAAGAGCUGGUGAGCAAGCUCAUCGACGCUGGCCUUGCAGAGGGCACAACAGAGCGGCAGGGCUGUGGGGACGAGGUCUGCUGGGGUCUGACGUGCCUUUUGUCUCUGGGAAUCAGCUCCCUGCUCCCUAGAGCCAGGACAAGGAUGUCACUGGCCAGGAGCCACUGCACUUGCCCGCUGGUAGCUGUUCUAGAUGACUCAGCUAGGCUGCCUCCAGAACCCACCCCAGAAUCAGCCUCUGGUGGUCCCGAGACAGGUAACAUGGACAAGGCAGUCCAGGACCGCAGGCAGAGAUGUCACACAAAACACCUUCAACAUGACUCACUUAAAAAAACAACCAAAAAAGCAGAUUUCCUGUUUGCCUCUCUGAAGAGGAAGCUUUCUGUAACUUCUCAAAUCUCUCAGGCCCCAGUGCUGACUCUUCUCUCCCUGAGGAACCCGCAGCCUCAGCCCCGGCGGGAAGUGUCCCAUUAAGCAAUAGGCAUCCACUACAUCCAACUUUUCAACAGCUGAUUCCAGCCAGCCUUCUCUACCUGUUUCCAGCCCCGAGAGUAUUGCGGAGAUUAAUCAGAGAGAAGCUGUCUGCAAGAAGGCAACCCCCUUACAAGUCUCCCAGAGCAGGGCCCCUGUCUCACUCAGCCGCUCAUUCCUUACAUACUUUCGACUGUGCCAGGCAUUCUAGGUAACAGAGCAGUGUGGUUAUGGGCGUGGGCUCUGGAGCAAGACGGCCCGAGUUCCUCUCUCAGCUCCACCACUUACACAUUGUGUGACCUUGGGCAAGUUAAUAAGCUUCUCUGAGCCUUAGGGAAAAUAACGUUACCUACCUCGUCAGAGUCUGAGGAUUCAACGAGGCAUAUAAAUUUAUGAGAACAAGGAAUAAGGACACGUACCCACACAAAACUUGUACGCAGAUUUUCAUCAUAACAGCCAAAAAGAAGAAACAACCCAAAUGCGCAACGACUGAGGAAUGGAUAAAUGAAAUGUGGUACGAUAGAUUAUUCAGCCAUGGAAAGGAAUAAAGUGCUGACACAAGCUACCAUAAGGAUAAGCUCGGAGAACAUUAUACUAAGUGAAAGAUGCCAGCCUUGAAGGACGGCCUAUUGUAUGAUUCCAUUGAUAUGAAAUGUCCAGAACAGGAAAUGGACAGAGAUAGAAAGGCUGUGCUGCUCCUCCUGUCAGAACAAGCGACGCCCUCGGCUCGGGGAUGACGGCUCUGCUGACGGAGCGCCUCACCCAAAGUCGUGCUCCAUCCCGGACAGCUCACAUCCAACGACCAGUAACGGGGCCGGAGGGGGGCAUGAAGGCCUGGUCCUCUCACCCCAAACUGGAACAGCCCUCAGGGGUCAUCCUAUCUCACCGCCGCCCACAGGACCCGCCAAGGCUUCUCCGGAGACUGGACCACGGCUCAGCGUCUCCCUCUGCCGCUCCUGCUUCCUCCCCUUCCCACCUCCUGCAGGUGCGGAGCAAUCACCCCCACGGGACUCGCGGCAACAUGAGCCUCAUAGGGCUGUUUUACUGUCCCUCCACGUGGGAUUCUUAUGCCAAACUGAUGGGUUCAAAUACCAGUUCCAAACUCACUAGCUGUGUAACUUUGGGCAAUAACCACUCAGUGCCUCAGUUUCCCCAUCUGUACAAUGGGGCGAUAUGACAAUUAAUGAGCUAAUACUUAUAAGGCCCUUGGAGCAGUGCUUGGCACAAGGUAAAUGGUAAAAAUAGAAAAAGGUAUUAUCUCUUAGCUCCCCCCAAAAAAAGCUCUGUGCUCCAGAGCACAGACUUCCCCCCAUUGCCAUUGUCAAUGGGGGAGCCGCCCCCCAGGCACGCUCACUAUCCAGCUCCAAUGGCCUCAAAAGGCCUGUUUGUAGAUCCAUAGAGGCCAGCUCACAUGGCCAAAGAAAGGGGUUGGGCAAGGCCACAGGUGAGGUCAGGGCCGGGAGUCUCUUGUUCCAGGUGAGGGGGCAACACUCAUCCCAGGCUGGUCGGUCAGCUCACAACAGAGCAGGUGAGAGAAUUCCAGAACAGGGAGGCACCAACAUGGGAAAAAGCUUAGGCCCUGGGGCAGCCCGGGUUCCAGUCCCGACCCUGUCACCUGCAGGUGUGUGUCCUUGGCCACGUCACUUAGUUCUCAUGUCUCCCAGCGUCUGUGCCUCGGAAGCAGGGCCAGCAGUGGUGCCUACGUUCCUGUUGCAAGAGUUGGAUGAGUUCAUGCUCGCAAAAUAUCUGGCAAAAUGGCUGUUUCAUAGGUGGUAAUAUCUUCCUCCCACCCUAUAUCAGUCAGUUAUGGCUGCAUAACAAACACCCCAAAAUGUCACGGCUUAAAACAGCAACACUUUUGCACGUGAAGCUGCCAUGUUGGCAGGGCUCAGGGGACAACUCAUUAUGCUCCAUGCGGCGUCAGCAGCGGUGACAUGAAUGUGGGGGCUGGAGGUGUCUCAAGAUUCGCUCCUCCCCCCGGACACUGGGCUAGGAUUGCUGCAGCAGCUCAGUCUCCUGGGGCUUCUCUCUCUGCCUCUGUGUGGUCUCUCCAGCACAGUGACUUCAGGAUACUAAAAUCUCUUACUUGGAUGCGCAGGGCACCACAGGUGCAUGUCCCAAGAGAGCAAACCAUGAAGAAGCUGGAUCACCCUUCAGGACCUGGCCUCAGAAGUCACUUUGCCACACUUGAUUGGUGGAGGCAGUUACCAGUGUCUGUCCAGUUUCAGGGGAAGGGAACACAGGCCGUACUGCGUGAUGGAGGAGUGUCAGCAUCACUGCGAGGAGACUGGGGGUGGGGUGUGUGUUGGUGUGGCCAUCUUUGGAAAACACAGUCUGCCCCAAGCCCCAUUCAGCAUGGUUCAUGCUAACCCUGCCUCCCUGGAGGCCCAGGCAGGAGCCAGGCGACACACACUGCUGCAGCCCGGGCUUCCCCAGCUAAAACAGAAAGGGCACAUCCGGGUUUAAUGCCCCACCUCCUUUAGCUCUUGAGGCCCUGGUCAAGCAGAACCUUCACCAGCCAGAAAGCACUAAGCCUUAGCAGCUAAGAACCCCCAGAGGACUUCAGCCUUCUCCAGCUCCAAACACCCACCAGCCCAGAAGCCCUUCACUCGUCCGCCGCGGCCCGUUCUCAUAGCAGCACACGUCUCCUGUGCUCUCCUCCCUCUGCUGCCCCACAGGGAUACAGGCACACGUUUACUUCCUCGCCCUCGUGGGAAGGAUACCACGUGUUCCCCCUAAGACAGCAGGCAUCCUACAGUCGGCUGGGAUUUUUUUACAACGAUAUUUCUUCUGUCAUGUGGAGCUGGAUCUGCCCUGACCAGCCCUGCUCUCUCAUCUGGCCUCUCCGGUUAUGGGUCUGGAGGGAGAAGACACUGGCCCAGGUGGGGACUGGACUUGUUUGUGAACUGGCCUCUAGCACGAUGCUUGAAACCAUCAGGGGGCAAAGUCAACAUCAAUCACAGCCCUGACAAGUUAGG
ensembl:lncRNA